GACGAACGCUGGCGGCGUGCUUAACACAUGCAAGUCGAACGGAAAGGCCCUCACCUUGGUGGGGGUGCUCGAGUGGCGAACGGGUGAGUAACACGUGGGUGAUCUGCCCUGUACUUCGGGAUAAGCUUGGGAAACUGGGUCUAAUACCGGAUAGGACCAUGGUUUAGUGUCUCAUGGUGGAAAAAUUAUUGUUUUGGUGCAGGAUGAGCUCGCGGCCUAUCAGCUUGUUGGUGGGGUAAUGGCCUACCAAGGCGUCGACGGGUAGCCGGCCUGAGAGGGUGGACGGCCACAUUGGGACUGAGAUACGGCCCAGACUCCUACGGGAGGCAGCAGUGGGGAAUAUUGCACAAUGGGCGCAAGCCUGAUGCAGCGACGCCGCGUGGGGGAUGACGGCCUUCGGGUUGUAAACUCCUUUCGUUAGGGACGAAGCCACACUUUUUUUGGGUGUGGUGACGGUACCUUUGUUAAGAAGCACCGGCUAACUACGUGCCAGCAGCCGCGGUAAUACGUAGGGUGCGAGCGUUGUCCGGAAUUACUGGGCGUAAAGAGCUCGUAGUGGUUUGUUGCGUCGUCUGUGAAUUCCGGGGCUUAACUUCGGGGUGGCAGGCGAUACGGGCAUAACUAGAGUGCUGUAGGGGAGACUGGAAUUCCUGGUGUAGCGGUGGAAUGCGCAGAUAUCAGGAGGAACACCGAUGGCGAAGGCAGGUCUCUGGGCAGUAACUGACGCUGAGGAGCGAAAGCAUGGGGAGCGAACAGGAUUAGAUACCCUGGUAGUCCAUGCUGUAAACGGUGGGCGUUAGGUGUGGGGACCGGUUUGGUUUCUGUGCCGUAGCUAACGCAUUAAGCGCCCCGCCUGGGGAGUACGGCCGCAAGGCUAAAACUCAAAGGAAUUGACGGGGGCCCGCACAAGCGGCGGAGCAUGUGGAUUAAUUCGAUGCAACGCGAAGAACCUUACCUGGGUUUGACAUGCACCAGACGGUUGUAGAGAUACGUACCUCCCUUUGUGGUUGGUGUGCAGGUGGUGCAUGGUUGUCGUCAGCUCGUGUCGUGAGAUGUUGGGUUAAGUCCCGCAACGAGCGCAACCCUUGUCUUAUGUUGCCAGCACGUUUGGGUGGGGACUCAUGAGAGACUGCCGGGGUUAACUCGGAGGAAGGUGGGGAUGACGUCAAAUCAUCAUGCCCUUUAUGCCCAGGGCUUCACACAUGCUACAAUGGUUAGUACAACGCGCGGCGAGCCUGUGAGGGUGAGCGAAUCGCUGAAAGCUAAUCUCAGUUCGGAUUGGGGUCUGCAACUCGACCCCAUGAAGUCGGAGUCGCUAGUAAUCGCAGAUCAGCAAUGCUGCGGUGAAUACGUUCCCGGGCCU
rnacentral:rRNA from 1 species